rnacentral:rRNA from 1 species
UAGGGAAUCUUCGGCAAUGGACGAAAGUCUGACCGAGCAACGCCGCGUGAGUGAAGAAGGUUUUCGGAUCGUAAAACUCUGUUGUUAGAGAAGAACAAGGGUGAGAGUAACUGUUCACCCCUUGACGGUAUCUAACCAGAAAGCCACGGCUAACUACGNGCCAG